CUACGGGGGGCUGCAGCGGGGAAUAUUGGACAAUGGGGGAAACCCUGAUCCAGCAAUGCCGCGUGUGUGAAGAAGGCCUGCGGGUUGUAAAGCACUUUCGGUUGGGAGGACUGCUUCUAGCACUAAUAUUGUUGGAAGUUGACGUUACCUUCAGAAGAAGCACCGGCUAACUCCGUGCCAGCAGCCGCGGUAAUACGGAGGGUGCAAGCGUUAAUCGGAAUUACUGGGCGUAAAGCGCGCGUAGGCGGCUAGAUCAGUCGGGUGUGAAAGCCCCGGGCUUAACCUGGGAACUGCAUCCGAUACUGUCUAGCUUGAGUACAGGAGAGGAGAGUGGAAUUCCACAUGUAGCGGUGAAAUGCGUAGAUAUGUGGAGGAACACCAAUGGCGAAGGCAGCUCUCUGGCCUGAUACUGACGCUGAGGCGCGAAAGCGUGGGGAGCAAACAGGAUUAGAUACCCGGGUAGUC
rnacentral:rRNA from 1 species